rnacentral:rRNA from 1 species
AUGAGGAGAGGUGUUGAUAUCCUUUGCGUCCAAGAAACCAAAUGGAGAGGACAGAAGGCGAAGGAGGUGGAAGAUACCGGCUUCAAGCUGUGGUACACGGGGACGGCUGCAAACAGAAAUGGCGUAGGCAUCUUGAUCAACAAGAGCCUCAAGUAUGGAGUGGUAGACGUCAGGAGACGUGGGGACCGGAUUAUCCUGGUCAAGCUGGUAGCUGAGGACUUGGUUCUCAAUGUUAUCAGCGCAUAUGCCCCGCAAGUAGGCCACAAUGAGAACACCAAGAGGGAGUUCUGGGAAGGCUUGGAAGACAUGGUUAGGAGUGUACCGAUUGGUGAGAAGCUCUUCAUAGGAGGAGACCUCAAUGGCCACGUGGGUACAUCUAACACAGGUUUUGAAGGGGCGCAU